UAAUUUGUAGCUUAACGGUAAAGCAAUCGUGCUUUUAAUGCGAAUAGUUGAAGGUUCGAAUCCUUCCAAAUACA
rnacentral:tRNA from 1 species